AGACUUCUGCUCAGCACUGUGUGGGCACGCACAGAUUGUGUUUUGUUUACUUGUUUAUCACCUUCCUGUUGGUUUUGUUGAACUUGCUAGGCAUUGACGAUAUCACAAAAAUCCACAACAAAAGCAUGAUCAGCUAAAAUUCAAAGUGCAUGAUCCCAUCACAGCUGCCCUAAGGAAAUGCAGGUUUAUGAACUUAUUAUCAAAUUCAGGGAGUACACCUGCAUUUUGCAUCAUAAUCAGUGGCGGAGCGGGGGGGUGGCUUACUGGGCUUAAGCCCGGGUUGUUUUUUCAGAAGCCCGGGGUCUUUUGGAGUGUAAUUUUUUCAUAGUUAGAUGCCUGACUGACAACUGUAUAAAACAAAAAACUACACGCAAUAUUCGAAGCACAUAGUGCACACUGUGGGAAUUUACAACUUUGCGUAAAUCCCCCCUAAUAUUGGUAUGAUCCUCAGGCACUAAGCGGGCGGGGCAGCUGCUGCCUGCGAGUGCGCUGUUGGAGAAACGGAGCCAGGCAGACAGAUGAGAACUGAAGUUCAACCAGUUGUUACCCUUCACGGCUAAAUAAAUCGGUUUCAGUAAUGUACUGAUAUACAAGAAUGGACAUAAGGAGCUUCUUUCAAAGAAAAAACUCAGAUGUCUCCAAUAGAUGGGAGGAGAGCCUGGAGAUGAGUCCUUGCACACGCUGGCUGAAGAUAAAAUGAAAGAAAAAUGAGUCAAUUAAUGGGAACCAAAAGAGUAAUGUCUUUUGACAUGUGGAAUGAAGUGUGAAAAGACGCAUCUCAUACCUGAGGCUUCUCUCACCUUCCUGUUAUUUUGGGGUUUCAUUUUCUCUCAGCAUCGAUCUGAUUUGGACCACAGAUGUGGAGGAGAAAGAGAGGAUAAUAGGGCAUCAGAGAGCGAGACUUGUUCGUUUUCUUUAAGACCGUGAGUGUCAGAACAUUAUCUGCUUUUUAGAGGGUGCUGUUGUUCAUAAGCAGCCGACUGGAGAGCCCUGCUUGCUGUACCUAAUCGGGACUGAGAGCGUGACGCCCUGAUUAAAAACCCACUGAAAGCACUCUCACAUGCACGCACAAAACACACACACACGCUGUCCAUGUCUGCAUUAAAAACAAACCAAAUGUCUCUUAGAGCCUGCAUCAUUUCUCAGCUUCAUUCUCAGCCAUACCAAAAAAAAGUCCAUUAUGUUGGAGGUACACAAAAUAUACUGCGUUUAUAUUUAAGGUUUGCGUUCUGUGGGUGGAAAGUUUUAUAUCCAUUCUAAUGAAUUCAUUUUCACCCUUCCAUUUGAUUUAUUUCCUAAAAUAAAAACUAGCAUUAUACAGAAUAAUACACCCAUGACUCACUAGCAUCAUGAUAGGGAAGCAAGUUUUGAACUUUCUAGACUACUCCACUGAUCAUAACAGAAAAUGACACUACAACCUCAUUAGCACAUGAGCUCUAUUUGUAUUCUAAUGAACUGUGAAAAAAAAAAUGCCACUGGGAAUAUUCUAAGAGUCUGGUGUAAAAUAUAAAGUAGCUUAAACCAUCAAGGAUCACGUCUACAUGUAAAGGUCUUUUGUUGUUCCACUUUGAUGAUAAUUUUGGUUUAGGUAUUAAAUAUGGAAUAGGAAAAAAAAUGCUAUUCCAUUUGAAAAAAUGCUAUUCCGUUUGUACCUGUGCAAAAUGUAAAAAAAAAAAAGGAAAAAGAAAAGAAAAAUAAGUGUAGUAAAGUUGGAAAAAAGUUAUUUUAUUUCUCGCUGCCUGGAAGAGCAUUUAUGGACUUAAACAAUGAUGUAAAAGACAUUUUAAUUGUUUUCCAGUUGAAAAACUCAUAACACUAAGGAGAAAACAAACCAGUGGUAUUUAUGGUGCAUCUCAAAGACAGACAUUUAGAUGUAAUAGCGUAAUUGAAAAAAAGUUGUAAUGCUGAGAAAAAUAUGGAGAAGCAGAUAAAUAGCUCAUGAUCUGAGGCAUGCCACAUAAUCUGUCA
ensembl:lncRNA